rnacentral:tRNA from 1 species
AGUAAAGUGCCUGAAAAAAAGGAUAAUUUUGAUAGAAUUAAUAAUGUGCCCCACACCUUUACU